GGAAAUGAAGAUACAUUUUUGACGCCCAGUCUUACUUGCAUAUUUUUAUGCAAGCUGGUGAUAAUGAUCGAUCUUUUAUCUGAUCC
rfam:Morus notabilis contig9485, whole genome shotgun sequence.